GAUGAAGAACGUAGCGAAUUGCGAUAUGUAAUGUGAAUUGCAGAUUUUCAGUGAAUCAUCGAAUCUUUGAACGCACAUUGCGCCCCUUGGUAUUCCGAGGGGCAUGCCUGUUCGAGCGUCAUUAUAACCCCUCAAGCUCAGCUUGGUGUUGGGGCCUGCUGCACUGGCAGCCCUUAAAAUCAGUGGCGGCGCCAUCUGGCUCUAAGCGUAGUAAUUCUUCUCGCUAUGGAGUCCUGGUGGAUGCUUGCCAUCAACCCCCAAUUUUUCUAUGGUUGACCUCGGAUCAGGUAGGGAUACCCGCUGAACUUAAGCAUAUCAAUAAGCGGAGGA
rnacentral:misc_RNA from 1 species